GGGUUGUGAGGUUAAGCGACUAAGCGUACACGGUGGAUGCCCUGGCAGUCAGAGGCGAUGAAGGACGUGCUAAUCUGCGAUAAGCGUCGGUAAGGUGAUAUGAACCGUUAUAACCGGCGAUUUCCGAAUGGGGAAACCCAGUGUGAUUCGUCACACUAUCAUUAACUGAAUCCAUAGGUUAAUGAGGCGAACCGGGGGAACUGAAACAUCUAAGUACCCCGAGGAAAAGAAAUCAACCGAGAUUCCCCCAGUAGCGGCGAGCGAACGGGGAGCAGCCCAGAGCCUGAAUCAGUGUGUGUGUUAGUGGAAGCGUCUGGAAAGGCGCGCGAUACAGGGUGACAGCCCCGUACACAAAAAUGCACAUGCUGUGAGCUCGAUGAGUAGGGCGGGACACGUGGUAUCCUGUCUGAAUAUGGGGGGACCAUCCUCCAAGGCUAAAUACUCCUGACUGACCGAUAGUGAACCAGUACCGUGAGGGAAAGGCGAAAAGAACCCCGGCGAGGGGAGUGAAAAAGAACCUGAAACCGUGUACGUACAAGCAGUGGGAGCACGCUUAGGCGUGUGACUGCGUACCUUUUGUAUAAUGGGUCAGCGACUUAUAUUCUGUAGCAAGGUUAACCGAAUAGGGGAGCCGAAGGGAAACCGAGUCUUAACUGGGCGUUAAGUUGCAGGGUAUAGACCCGAAACCCGGUGAUCUAGCCAUGGGCAGGUUGAAGGUUGGGUAACACUAACUGGAGGACCGAACCGACUAAUGUUGAAAAAUUAGCGGAUGACUUGUGGCUGGGGGUGAAAGGCCAAUCAAACCGGGAGAUAGCUGGUUCUCCCCGAAAGCUAUUUAGGUAGCGCCUCGUGAAUUCAUCUCCGGGGGUAGAGCACUGUUUCGGCAAGGGGGUCAUCCCGACUUACCAACCCGAUGCAAACUGCGAAUACCGGAGAAUGUUAUCACGGGAGACACACGGCGGGUGCUAACGUCCGUCGUGAAGAGGGAAACAACCCAGACCGCCAGCUAAGGUCCCAAAGUCAUGGUUAAGUGGGAAACGAUGUGGGAAGGCCCAGACAGCCAGGAUGUUGGCUUAGAAGCAGCCAUCAUUUAAAGAAAGCGUAAUAGCUCACUGGUCGAGUCGGCCUGCGCGGAAGAUGUAACGGGGCUAAACCAUGCACCGAAGCUGCGGCAGCGACGCUUAUGCGUUGUUGGGUAGGGGAGCGUUCUGUAAGCCUGUGAAGGUGUGCUGUGAGGCAUGCUGGAGGUAUCAGAAGUGCGAAUGCUGACAUAAGUAACGAUAAAGCGGGUGAAAAGCCCGCUCGCCGGAAGACCAAGGGUUCCUGUCCAACGUUAAUCGGGGCAGGGUGAGUCGACCCCUAAGGCGAGGCCGAAAGGCGUAGUCGAUGGGAAACAGGUUAAUAUUCCUGUACUUGGUGUUACUGCGAAGGGGGGACGGAGAAGGCUAUGUUGGCCGGGCGACGGUUGUCCCGGUUUAAGCGUGUAGGCUGGUUUUCCAGGCAAAUCCGGAAAAUCAAGGCUGAGGCGUGAUGACGAGGCACUACGGUGCUGAAGCAACAAAUGCCCUGCUUCCAGGAAAAGCCUCUAAGCAUCAGGUAACAUCAAAUCGUACCCCAAACCGACACAGGUGGUCAGGUAGAGAAUACCAAGGCGCUUGAGAGAACUCGGGUGAAGGAACUAGGCAAAAUGGUGCCGUAACUUCGGGAGAAGGCACGCUGAUAUGUAGGUGAAGUCCCUCGCGGAUGGAGCUGAAAUCAGUCGAAGAUACCAGCUGGCUGCAACUGUUUAUUAAAAACACAGCACUGUGCAAACACGAAAGUGGACGUAUACGGUGUGACGCCUGCCCGGUGCCGGAAGGUUAAUUGAUGGGGUCAGCGCAAGCGAAGCUCUUGAUCGAAGCCCCGGUAAACGGCGGCCGUAACUAUAACGGUCCUAAGGUAGCGAAAUUCCUUGUCGGGUAAGUUCCGACCUGCACGAAUGGCGUAAUGAUGGCCAGGCUGUCUCCACCCGAGACUCAGUGAAAUUGAACUCGCUGUGAAGAUGCAGUGUACCCGCGGCAAGACGGAAAGACCCCGUGAACCUUUACUAUAGCUUGACACUGAACAUUGAGCCUUGAUGUGUAGGAUAGGUGGGAGGCUUUGAAGUGUGGACGCCAGUCUGCAUGGAGCCGACCUUGAAAUACCACCCUUUAAUGUUUGAUGUUCUAACGUUGACCCGUAAUCCGGGUUGCGGACAGUGUCUGGUGGGUAGUUUGACUGGGGCGGUCUCCUCCUAAAGAGUAACGGAGGAGCACGAAGGUUGGCUAAUCCUGGUCGGACAUCAGGAGGUUAGUGCAAUGGCAUAAGCCAGCUUGACUGCGAGCGUGACGGCGCGAGCAGGUGCGAAAGCAGGUCAUAGUGAUCCGGUGGUUCUGAAUGGAAGGGCCAUCGCUCAACGGAUAAAAGGUACUCCGGGGAUAACAGGCUGAUACCGCCCAAGAGUUCAUAUCGACGGCGGUGUUUGGCACCUCGAUGUCGGCUCAUCACAUCCUGGGGCUGAAGUAGGUCCCAAGGGUAUGGCUGUUCGCCAUUUAAAGUGGUACGCGAGCUGGGUUUAGAACGUCGUGAGACAGUUCGGUCCCUAUCUGCCGUGGGCGCUGGAGAAUUGAGGGGGGCUGCUCCUAGUACGAGAGGACCGGAGUGGACGCAUCACUGGUGUUCGGGUUGUCAUGCCAAUGGCACUGCCCGGUAGCUAAAUGCGGAAGAGAUAAGUGCUGAAAGCAUCUAAGCACGAAACUUGCCCCGAGAUGAGUUCUCCCUGACUCCUUGAGAGUCCUGAAGGAACGUUGAAGACGACGACGUUGAUAGGCCGGGUGUGUAAGCGCAGCGAUGCGUUGAGCUAACCGGUACUAAUGAACCGUGAGGCUUAACCUUACAACGCCGAAG
rnacentral:rRNA from 1 species